UUUCUCAAUGGAUAAUGCAUUUUGGGAAAGGAUGCUAUCAGAAGGAGCACAAAGAAAGCUCCAAGGUCAUUUCCUUCUUACAUGGCACAUUCUUCCUGACUUGAUGGUCCUCAUAUGGAGGUGAUCCUUCAAAAUAUCUUGUAAGGUGAAAAGACUUUCCCUCUACCCUCUGAGGAUUUGAUAACUGAGUCUAUGACAGAAGCUGACAACAGGCAGAUUAACAUGAGAAAAGAUAUACAAUUUUAUUAUGUGCAUGAGGGCAGUACAGAAAAGAAAGCAUACACCUAAACAACCAGUGAGAUUCAGGAGUUUACAUCUCUACUUCACAGGGGAGAGGAGGUGAGAUAUAGGCAAUUUAGGGGAGAAAUAAUUUUUGGGAAAGAUUAUUGGGUCCUCAGAAGAAGAGAUAAUAGUUUUUGAAGAAGUUUGUCUAGGUGUGGUGUCAACUUCUAGCCUCUUCUCCUGUGAUAGAGUUAAUCUUCCCCGGUUGAUGAAAUUCCCAGGGAGGGGAUUGAUGACAACUGAGCUCCUUUUAGAGGAUCUGUCUUUAGGCAGAUAGGGGGAGUUCAGAGAAAGCUUCUCCUUACAUUUGUUGUUUUUCAAGUGCCUUUGGCUAGAAUUAACCCAUAUACCAAAUUGGCAUAUUUUGGAGUGGCAUUUCCUGAAUUCCUUCAGUCUUCUAGCUAAACACUCAUAAGUCUUCUUUGCAGUGCACUAGACACUUAUAAUGUAAGGGUUUAUGUAUUGUCUUUGUAUGAAUAGCUGUAGCUUUGGAGAUUAUUGCUUCUUUACCUCAUAACCUUGUAACUGUUGACAAGUUAUUUGACUUCCUUAUACCCAGAAUAUUCUUCAAUAAGAUGAGGGUAAUAUCUGCCCUACUAUCUGCCAAGGAUAUCUGAGGAUAAAAGAAGGUAAUACAUGGAAAGCAUUUUGAAUAUAGCAUUCUUGUGCUGGCAUAAGAAAGUUGUAGUAUAGGUGGGUAUUGGCUCUGCCAAAUCAAAAUGUUAGAACAAAAAGAGUGUAUGACAUAUCAGUAAAGAAGUAAACAAGAAUAAAAUACAUGCUAAAAUGUCAUGAAUUUCACUUAAGCAACAUAUUACAAAUGUGUUUCUAGGCUAUGGACCAAAAUCUUUUCCCAGGGUUUAUAUUAUAAAAGGUUUUUUAUUUUCUUUAUAAAAUGUACACACUCAGAAGACAAACUUGACGGUGUUUCUAACCAAAUAUUUUUUCUUGAAAAAAUGUGGAAUGUCAGUGCUUUCAGAUGGGAAAGAUGGGAUUAAAAUAUAAUAUUUUAAGAUUUCUACAAAAUUUUAGGAAAUGAUGUGGAUACAUAAAAAGUUAUGUUUGAGAGUUAGUGUAUUAGUUCAUUCUCACAUUUCUAUAAAGAAAUACUUGAGACUGGGUAAUUUAUAAAGAAAAGAGGUUUACUUGGCUCAUGGUUCUGUAGGCUGUACAGGAAGCAUGAUGCUGGUAUCUGCUUGGCUUCUGAGGAGGCCUCAGAAAACUUACAAUUAUGGCAGAAGGCAGAGGGAGAGCAGGAUUCUUACAUGGCAGGAGCAAGAGCAAGAGAGAGAAGGGAGAGAUGCCACACACUUGUAAACAACGAGAUCACACAAGAAUUCAGUAUCAGGAGAACAGUACCAAGAAGGUGGUGCUAAACCAUUCAUGAAGGAUCCACUUCCAUGAUCCAGUCACCUCCCACCAGGCCCUAUCUCCAAUAUUGGGGAUUACAAUUCAACAUGAGAUUUGAGUGGAGACACAUAUCUGAACUAUAUCAGUAAGUAACCUUGGGUUGAAAUGAAAAGAAUAAAGAGGAAUUAUUUCUAAAUUCAAAUUUGUUAUACAGUAUGAAUUUAAAAUUUGGCUUAGUAUCUGUAAUAGUGGAUGACUAAAGAAUUUUUAUUAUAUUGUAUUAUGAACCUUCAUAAUUUGCCUUUUCCAAUGCUUCUGAGAAGUGGGUUCCUUUAUAGGAGCUACAUAUCAGAGAGCUAUCUUGGCCUACAUUUCACUGCUGGAGACACAUUAUUUAGAGCCAGAGCUGGAAAUGAAAAAUAAUUCCUUAACUCCCCUAAACUGGUGCUGACUGGGAGGAAACUAAGGGGUAAGAGUUUCCAACUAGACUCAUUUGGAAGAUGCGGAGCCAGAAUAAAGAAAAGGAAAACUAGGCUAGUUAAGUCUGCGUCUUGAAUCAUAAAGAUCUCCGUAUCUCAAGGGUAUAAUCUCAGUAACUAAAGUUUCCCCAAAUUAAGGAAAAAAAUAUAGUACAGAGUAAUACUUAGGGAUUUUCUAGGAUAUAGCCACUGUGAAUGGAGUAUGCAUCUUAUAUUUGUAAAAUUUUUCAUGAAUUCUAUUCCUAAGUGUAUGUUUCACUUUGAAUAAAAUACUAAAUUGGGUUACUUGUACUUUUGGGAGCCCACAAUGGUUUUCUGUGAAAAAAUGGCCCUUAGAAAAUGUAAAUGGUUCUUCACUAGUACUAAACUUCUGUCCUUUUCUUUAAGCAAGCAAGCUAUGUCCCAUGCAGAUAACUGUCUUCCCUGUUUGUGAUAUCUGUAAGAAUAUAUUCCUUGUAGGCAAGGAAUAAGAUAGCUGGUAAAUGGAAGGAGACCUCUCAUGCACAUUAUUGCCACAGAAUUGGGACAUGAAGUGGUGUUAAGUUGGGCUGCCAUAACAAAAUACUAUACUGGUGGUUUAAAUAAGAGAAAUUUAUUUUCUCACAGUUCUGGAGGUUGAGAUCAGGGUACUAACAUGGUUGGUUUCUGGUGAGGGCUCUCCUUCUGGCUUUCAGAUGAUCACCUUUUUGCUGUUGUGCUCACAAGACCUUACCUUCACGGGCACAUAGGAGAAAUAUCAGGUCAAUGAUGUAGCUUCU
rnacentral:lncRNA from 10 species